UACGGAAGGGGCAAGCGUUGUUCGGAAUCAUUGGGCGUAAAGGGCGCGUAGGUGGUUCUGUAUGUCUACCGUGAAAGCAUACAGCUCAACUGUAUUUUGUCGGUAGAAACUGCAGGACUUGAGGCUGGGAGGGGCUGGUGGAAUUCCCUGUGUAGCGGUGAAAUGCGUAGAGAUGGGGGAGAACACUCGUGGCGAAAGCGGCUCUCUGGAACGGUACUGACGCUGAGACGCGAAAGCGUGGGGAGCGAACAGG
rnacentral:rRNA from 1 species